rnacentral:rRNA from 1 species
GACGAACGCUGGCGGCGUGCUUAACACAUGCAAGUCGAACGGAAAGUCCCUGCUUUGGGGGGGUACUCGAGUGGCGAACGGGGGAGUAACACGGGGGUAACCUGCUCUUGACCUUGGGAUAACUUCAGGAAAAUGGGGCGAAUACCGGAUAGGAUCUCCCGCUGCAUGGUGUGGGUUGGAAAGUUUGGGCGGCUGGGGAUGGACUCGCUGCUUAUCAGCUUGUUGGUCGGGUAGUGGCUUAGCAAGGCAUGGACGGGUAGCCGGCCUGAGAGGGUGACCGGCCACAUUGGGCCUGAGAUACGGACCAGAAUCCUACGGGCGGCAGUGGUGGGGAAUCUUGCACAAUGGGCCGACGCCAGAUACAGCAACUCCGCGUGCGGGAAGCCGGCCUUCGAGUUGUAAACAGCUUUCGCCUGUGACGAAGCGUGAGUGACGGUAAUGAGUAAGGAAGCACCGGCUAACUACGUG